GGUAUAGACCCGAAACCCGGUGAUCUAGCCAUGGGCAGGUUGAAGGUUGGGUAACACUAACUGGAGGACCGAACCGACUAAUGUUGAAAAAUUAGCGGAUGACUUGUGGCUGGGGGUGAAAGGCCAAUCAAACCGGGAGAUAGCUGGUUCUCCCCGAAAGCUAUUUAGGUAGCGCCUCGUGAACUCAUCUUCGGGGGUAGAGCACUGUUUCGGCUAGGGGGCCAUCCCGGCUUACCAAACCGAUGCAAACUCCGAAUACCGAAGAAUGUUAUCACGGGAGACACACGGCGGGUGCUAACGUCCGUCGUGAAGAGGGAAACAACCCAGACCGCCAGCUAAGGUCCCAAAGUCAUGGUUAAGUGGGAAACGAUGUGGGAAGGCAUAGACAGCCAGGAUGUUGGCUUAGAAGCAGCCAUCAUUUAAAGAAAGCGUAAUAGCUCACUGGUCGAGUCGGCCUGCGCGGAAGAUGUAACGGGGCUAAACCAUGCACCGAAGCUGCGGCAGCGACGCUUAGGCGUUGUUGGGUAGGGGAGCGUUCUGUAAGCCGUUGAAGGUGGCCUGUGAGGGUUGCUGGAGGUAUCAGAAGUGCGAAUGCUGACAUAAGUAACGAUAAAGCGGGUGAAAAACCCGCUCGCCGGAAGACCAAGGGUUCCUGUCCAACGUUAAUCGGGGCAGGGUGAGUCGACCCCUAAGGCGAGGCUGAAAAGCGUAGUCGAUGGGAAACAGGUUAAUAUUCCUGUACUUGGUGUUACUGCGAAGGGGGGACGGAGAAGGCUA
rnacentral:rRNA from 1 species